GAAUGCUGACAUAAGUAACGAUAAAGCGGGUGAAAAGCCCGCUCGCCGGAAGACCAAGGGUUCCUGUCCAACGUUAAUCGGGGCAGGGUGAGUCGACCCCUAAGGCGAGGCCGAAAGGCGUAGUCGAUGGGAAACGGGUUAAUAUUCCCGUACUUGGUGUUACUGCGAAGGGGGGACGGAGAAGGCUAUGUUGGCCGGGCGACGGUUGUCCCGGUUUAAGCGUGUAGGUGUGUGUUCCAGGUAAAUCCGGUUCACUUUAACACUGAGGCGUGACGACGAGG
rnacentral:rRNA from 2 species